GUCAGAAAACAAGAAAUUAACACAUUAGGUGAAUAUCAUAGUUGUGAAAAGAGGCAUCACAGAAAUAGAAGUAGUGGGCUUGCUUUUCUCCAAAUGUGGUGAAAAGUGAUGAACUAAAAUGAAUAGGCUAGGUUUGUGGAUAAUGCAUGAAACAGUUCAGGAUAUUUUAGACACGUGCUGGUGAAGUGCUGGUGAAGUUUAGGUUCUCAACAGAUUGUUCGUGUCUGUGUUCAAGCUUUUACUAUUUUGACAAUAUGUUUUAUUUUAAGAAGUGUAAAGGAAGUAUAAUGCACCCAUUUUUUAAAUGAUAAUACUGCUGUGGAUAGCAGUCAGCAUUCUCACAAACUUCUGUGGCCAAAUGAAGGAGAAGGUGUGCCAGCCCAAGCUAAACACUCAGUGGGGCAGAGACCAUCAUCUUCUAUGCUGCAGCGGGGCAACCAACAGUUUUCUGCUGCUGCUACUGUGUAAUUAUCAACGCCAGCGAGUAGCUUGGCCUGGAGAUACAAACGCCAAAAUGAAAACACACAAGAUUGCAGCUUCUUGGAUGCUAGUCCAAGUUUCAUGACUAAAGCAGUCUCAGAACACUUCCAAAACAAUACAGUUUUAUAUUCCUCAGCUUGUCCAAGUUGAACUGAUCCUUUGAAACAUGAAUCUGUCAACCCUGGAGAAUAUGCUAAUCUAAGUAUGUUACUCUGCUAACACUGUUUUGCCUAGACCCCGAAGCCUUCCACGCCAGCCUAUGUCAAUCCAUCACAGAAGCAGGAGAUCCUGACUGCUAGGAAGGACUCAGCAUUUCUGCCUUUCAAAGUCACACUGAAGUUGUUCAUUCCCGCAAAGUGGAAAAGGAAUUACAAAGAGUUGCGCCAAUGUAUUUGAUAUUGAGCAGAAAGGUAUUACCUAAUAUGUCUUCUUAUAUUAUAAAACAUCAGUUUCAUAUAACCAAUUAGCUCAUUAUGAAAUCCUGUAACAUCCAGCGCUCUCAAAUUUGUAGUAAAAGAUCUUUGGCUGGUUUUGCAUGACUGAGGGUGAAUAAUGCUCAUGAUAGGAAACUGUUUUUCUUUGACUCUGUAAGGAUAAUUGUCACAGCUAUCACACAGUCACUGCAAUGCCAUUUGUAAGAAUUGCUGUUCAGAGCUGUUCUCUGUAACACCAUUCUUGUAACACUGGGAACAUUUGUCUUUUCCAAUUAUCACCAACACAAACGUCCUUUUGUAGGUCUUUAAGUGAUUUAAUUUCUUUCUAUUAAUAUCCUGUUACUUGCUUCUGGAGAAACCAAUGGAGACAGGCCUCAAUUAAUAUAUACUUUUAAAGUGAAGGCUUUUAGUGAAGCCAGAGCUAAGGCAUUUUAAAACAGGAAUUGACACUUCCCCUUUAUGACUGUCUAACAUUUUCAGUGUGCCUUACAAAAUGGAUAGAA